rnacentral:rRNA from 1 species
GAUGAACGCUGGCGGCGUGCCUAAUACAUGCAAGUCGAGCGAACGGACGAGAAGCUUGCUUCUCUGAUGUUAGCGGCGGACGGGUGAGUAACACGUGGAUAACCUACCUAUAAGACUGGGAUAACUUCGGGAAACCGUAGCUAAUACCGGAUAAUAUUUUGAACCGCAUGGUUCAAAAGUGAAAGACGGUCUUGCUGUCACUUAUAGAUGGAUCCGCGCUGCAUUAGUUAGUUGGUAAGGUAACGGCUUACCAAGGCAACGAUGCAUAGCCGACCUGAGAGGGUGAUCGGCCAGCUGGGAACUGAGGGAGGGUCGCGACGCCGGCGGGAGGAAGCAGACGGGAAUCUUACGGGAUGGGGGAAUGCCUGACGGUGCAACGUCGCGGGAGUCAUGAACGAGCACGGACGGUAGAACGCUGUUAUUAGGGGAGAAGAAAAGUGUAAGUAACUGUGCUCAUCAUGACGGUACCUGAUCAGAAAGCCCCGGCUAACUACGUG